AACGAACGCUGGCGGCAUGCCUAACACAUGCAAGUCGAACGAUAUCUUCGGGUCUAGUGGCGCACGGGUGCGUAACGCGUGGGAAUCUGCCCUUUGGUUCGGAAUAACAGUUGGAAACGACUGCUAAUACCGGAUGAUGACGAAAGUCCAAAGAUUUAUCGCCAGAGGAUGAGCCCGCGUAGGAUUAGCUAGUUGGUGUGGUAAAGGCGCACCAAGGCGACGAUCCUUAGCUGGUCUGAGAGGAUGAUCAGCCACACUGGGACUGAGACACGGCCCAGACUCCUACGGGAGGCAGCAGUGGGGAAUAUUGGACAAUGGGCGAAAACCUGAUCCAGCAAUGCCGCGUGAGUGAUGAAGGCCUUAGGGUUGUAAAGCUCUUUUACCCGGGAUGAUAAUGACAGUACCGUGAGAAUAAGCUCCGGCUAACUCCGUGCCAGCCGCCGCAGUAA
rnacentral:rRNA from 1 species